rnacentral:rRNA from 1 species
AACGAACGCUGGCGGCAGGCUUAACACAUGCAAGUCGAGCGCCCCGCAAGGGGAGCGGCAGACGGGUGAGUAACGCGUGGGAAUCUACCCAUCUCUACGGAAUAACGCAUGGAAACGUGUGCUAAUACCGUAUACGUCCUUCGGGAGAAAGAUUUAUCGGAGAUGGAUGAGCCCGCGUUGGAUUAGCUAGUUGGUGGGGUAAAGGCCGACCAAGGCGACGAUCCAUAGCUGGUCUGAGAGGAUGAUCAGCCACACUGGGACUGAGACACGGCCCAGACUCCUACGGGAGGCAGCAGUGGGUAAUAUUGGACAAUGGGCGCAAGCCUGAUCCAGCCAUGCCGCGUGAGUGAUGAAGGCCCUAGGGUUGUAAAGCUCUUUCACCGGUGAAGAUAAUGACGGUAACCGGAGAAGAAGCCCCGGCUAACUUCGUGCCAGCCGCCGCAGUAACAC